GAGGCAGCAGUGAGGAAUAUUGGUCAAUGGGCGGGAGCCUGAACCAGCCAAGUCGCGUGAGGGAAGACGGUCCUACGGAUUGUAAACCUCUUUUGCCGGGGAGCAACGGGGUCCUUGCGAGGGCCCGAUGAGAGUACCCGGAGAAAAAGCAUCGGCUAACUCCGUGCCAGCAGCCGCGGUAAUACGGAGGAUGCGAGCGUUAUCCGGAUUUAUUGGGUUUAAAGGGUGCGUAGGCGGGCUGUUAAGUCAGCGGUCAAAUGUCGGGGCUCAACCCCGGCCUGCCGUUGAAACUGGCGGCCUCGAGUGGGCGAGAAGUAUGCGGAAUGCGUGGUGUAGCGGUGAAAUGCAUAGAUAUCACGCAGAACUCCGAUUGCGAAGGCAGCAUACCGGCGCCCUACUGACGCUGAGGCACGAAAGCGUGGGUAUCGAACAGGAUUAGAUACCCUGGUAGUC
rnacentral:rRNA from 1 species